UAAAAGGGAAGCGAAUGAAACCAGCAAUUCGCCUUGCCAGAUUCAGUCGCCUGCGCUCGAUCACGUGCUUGUUCGCGAUUUUUUCAGACGCGACUCGUACAGUUGGCCGAGCGAAGGCUGCGCACUUCUGGUAGGUGAGUGUCAGCAUCAGAUGGUCACGGGUUAGAAAGUUGCGAUGAAGGUAGAUCCUUACGGAUUGUUCAGCGUCGCAAACAAAUCACCCGAGGCUGCCUGUGGUCUAUCGCAAUGCGUGCCUUCCGUGGGUUGGCUGGUGUCCUGUUCUGUUGAUGCGGUUGUCGACUGCGGCGGACGGCUAUGCCAGUGCGUCCAAACCGCUUCCCGUCUCCAGAUCGGGGUGCACACACCACGCGUUGACGAUGCUGACGAAAAUACGGUUUCAUCCGACCCGUCUUGAAACACGGACCAAGGAGUCUAACAUGUGCGCGAGUCUGUGGGUGAUCGAAACCCGGUGGCGAAAUGAAAGUGAAGGGAACUUUUUGGUUGCUGAGGUGAGAAGCCCGGCCGUCGUGGCCAAGCCGCAUCAUCGACCGACCUGUUCUAAUCCUAGAAAGGUUUGAGUAAGAGCGUAGCUGUUG
rnacentral:rRNA from 1 species